GGCGGGGUAGCUCAGCUGGUUAGAGCAACGGAAUCAUAAUCCGUGUGUCGUGGGUUCAAAUCCCUCCCUCGCUACCA
rnacentral:tRNA from 1 species